rnacentral:lncRNA from 1 species
UUUAAAAUAAUAAUAAUAAUAAUAAACUGUUAUUUUAAAGCGAAUUCUAAUAGUAACUGAGAUUGAACAGAUUUUUGAGCCAUUAAUUAUAUUGCCUCAGUCUUUAUGAUUGUCUCCUCCAUUCAGAAGCUUUCCCGUUAUUUCCUGAAACAACGGACAAUUCUAUUUUACAUCAAUAUGCUCCUCAUCAUUAUUCCUGGAGCUGCAGUUGAACAACAUCUGGUUUCUCAUCCUCCCAGGAGCAACCUGCAAUACAUUUUAGGACCGACUAUACAGUUUGCAUCAUAUUAUGAUAGUUAUUAUAACAUAUGAUAACUUUGGUGUCAAGAACUAACUAUCAAUAGCAUUGUUACUGCUAG